CAAUACCUAGUGGCAGACUGGGUGAGUAACGCGUGGUCAACCUACCAUCGAGCGGGGAAUAACUAGCCGAAAGGCUAGCUAAUACCGCAUAACACCAAAGCCGGCAUCGGCAAUGGUUGAAAGCAGCAAUGCACUCGAUGACGGGACCGCGUCCGAUUAGCUAGUUGGUGAGGUAAUGGCUCACCAAGGCUGCGAUCGGUAGCUGGUUUGAGAGAACGACCAGCCACACUGGGACUGAGAACGGCCCAGACUCCUACGGGAGGCAGCAGUGAGGAAUUUUCCGCAAUGGGCGAAAGCCUGACGGAGCGACGCCGCGUGUGGGAAGAAGGCCUUCGGGUCGUAAACCACUGUCGAGGGGGAAGAUACUGACGGUACCCCUGGAGGAAGCCCCGGCUAACUACGUGCCAGCAGCCGCGGUAAGACGUAGGGGGCAA
rnacentral:rRNA from 1 species